GGUAAUGGGGCCCAGGGGCGCAGAGGAAUCGAAACGGAAACCAUCAUCGCCGCCGCCGCCGCCGCCAUGGCCGCCGCCGGUGGCCAAACCCUCGGCCGGAGCAGCUUCUCCCGCGCCACAUCCAACCCGGCUGCCUCCUCUUCCGGCGCCACCGGCGUCAAGCUUAGCCCGAACGGCGUCGCCUUCGUCUCCUCCGGCAUCCCCGACCUGGACAGGAUUUUGGGUGGUGGAUUCCUUCUAGGCUCAGUUGUAAUGAUCAUGGAGGACAAUGAUGCACCACAUCACCUUCUGCUUCUUCGCUGCUUCAUGGCACAGGGUGUUGUGCACAAGCAGCCCCUGCUCUUUGCAGGGCCUAUGAAGGAGCCACGGUUGUUCCUUGGUACUUUACCUGCUCUGGUUUCAUCUUCAAAGGAGGAUGGGCGACACAUAGCGAUGGGGGCCGGGGCAAGUAGUGAUGGACGAGCAAAUGAUGAGGGAUUGAGGAUAGCUUGGCAGUACAAGAAAUACUUUGGAGAUGAGAAGACUUCUCGUGCUGAGCAUAAAGACAAUAAGCAGGAAUUUAGCAAUGAUUUUGAUUUGAGGAAGCCCCUGGAAAGGCAUUUACUUAAUGGGCAGAAUAUUGAAUGCGUAAGCACUCAAGAAGCAGACACUCUAAGCAACCUCCAGGAUCGUUGUUCUGCUUUCUUAUCCAAGCUCCCAAGUUUGGUUCUACUACCAUGCCCUGUGCCUAGUAUUGAUUCCGGACCUCUUUCGUUUUUCGCAUUCAGAAAAGAUGGUGGAAGUUUAACUGCUGGGAGAAUUGCUAUACAAUCACUCUGUGCACCGCAUUGUGGAUACUUUGAGAAGGACUGGGACAUGGUCUCAUUUAUCAGAUCAGUGAAGGCCAUGGUGCGGUCAUCUAACUCAGUCGCUGUUAUAACAUUUCCGAGCACGGUUCUAUCAAAUUCAUUCUGUAAGAGAUGGCAGCACCUGGCAGAUACACUGCUGUCGAUCAAAGCAAUUCCAGAUGAGGACAAAGACUUGGCAAAACUCCUCACAGGAUACCAAGAUAUGGUUGGUUUUUUGCACGUCCACAAGGUGGCGCAAACUAAUAGCCAGGUCCCUGUGAUCUUAGAGGCGUCCACACUUUCUCUGAAGCUGCGAAAGAGGAGGUCGCUGGUGCUAGAACGGUUGAAUCAGGCUCCAGUGGACGGGUCAAGUGGGCCUUCUGCUGCUGCAUCUGGCAGUUGCUCGUCGUCACAAGGCCGACAGCUUGAUUUCUAGUUUGGAUUCAGAUGGUAUGGCCGGUUCUACGAAGAGGAGCUCGGCAGUGUUUUGUACUUGUUACUCUGGGUAAAAUGCAACCUUAGGAGGCUCAGGUUUUAGAUAGGAGGCAGUUUGAUGGUUCCCCCGUUAGUGUAUCUAUCAGCUUGUUGUACACCACUUUCAAUAGCAUUCGAACAGGCUAAAGUUGUAUAUUACUAUCUCCUGAUGGAAGUUGAAGAAUUAAUGGUCUUCAUGAAGAGGAAACUCGAGGAAGGAGCUAUGACCGACUGCAUAUGUAAUGCCAAAUGCAAAUGGCAGUUUCAGGCUUUCAACAAGACUCAGAAUCUUCAUACAGAAGCACAGAAGCAUGAGAUACCAAGACAUAACACAUGCCUAGGAUGGCAUAAACAGUCGACCAAAUAGGAAAUCUAGUCUAUCUUCAUAUAAUUGUAUAUUUAAGACAUCUGGAGAUGAUUGGGAAGUAGAAGUACAGAAUCCGAGAUGCAGAGUUGCAGAAGAUAGAGAUAUUUACAGAUGUUUAGAUAAAACAUUUUAGGCCUAAAUAUGCACAAC